rnacentral:rRNA from 1 species
UACAGAGGGGGCAAGCGUUGUUCGGAAUUACUGGGCGUAAAGGGCGCGUAGGCGGCCUUCUAAGUCGAACGUGAAAUCCCUGGGCUCAACCCAGGAACUGCGUCCGAUACUGGAAGGCUUGAGGUUGGGAGAGGGAUGCGGAAUUCCAGGUGUAGCGGUGAAAUGCGUAGAUAUCUGGAGGAACACCGGUGGCGAAGGCGGCAUCCUGGACCAAUUCUGACACUGAGGAGCGAAAGCCAGGGGAGCAAACGGG